rnacentral:rRNA from 1 species
GACGAACGCUGGCGGCGUGCUUAACACAUGCAAGUCGAGCGGAAAGGCCCCUUCGGGGGUACUCGAGCGGCGAACGGGUGAGUAACACGUGAGCAACCUGCCCUUGACUCUGGGAUAAGCCUAGGAAACUGGGUCUAAUACCGGAUACGACUCCUGCCGGCAUCGGCGGGUGUGGAAAGAUUUAUCGGUCAAGGAUGGGCUCGCGGCCUAUCAGCUUGUUGGUGGGGUAAUGGCCUACCAAGGCUUCUACGGGUAGCCGGCCUGAGAGGGCGACCGGCCACACUGGGACUGAGACACGGCCCAGACUCCUACGGGAGGCAGCAGUGGGGAAUAUUGCGCAAUGGGCGAAAGCCUGACGCAGCAACGCCGCGUGAGGGAUGACGGCCUUCGGGUUGUAAACCGUCUUUC